rnacentral:snRNA from 2 species
UGGGGCAUGGCUCUAAAAAAGGCAAAAAAAAAAAAAGCAGAGACUAGCAUGACCCAUGCAUAAGGAUGACAGGCAAAUUCAUGAAGUAUUUCAUAUAUUU